UACGAAGGGGGCUAGCGUUGCUCGGAAUCACUGGGCGUAAAGGGUGCGUAGGCGGGUCUUUAAGUCAGGGGUGAAAUCCUGGAGCUCAACUCCAGAACUGCCUUUGAUACUGAAGAUCUUGAGUUCGGGAGAGGUGAGUGGAACUGCGAGUGUAGAGGUGAAAUUCGUAGAUAUUCGGAAGAACACCAGUGGCGAAGGCGGCUUACUGGUCCGGUACUGACGCUGAGGUGCGAAAGCGUGGGGAGCAAACAGG
rnacentral:rRNA from 1 species